rnacentral:lncRNA from 1 species
UUGUGUUUGAGGUUUUUAUGCUCGACCUAACCUGGUUCUAUAUAAAUUGCUUAAUUUAAUGCAUGCAUGCAUGCACAUAUACACAUACACAUAUAUAUAAAUAUAUACAUAUGUAAAUGCAUAUAAUAUUAAUUUUACUGGUACAUCUUUCAAUUGUAAAAAUAAAAAAGUAAUAGUAUAUCAACAUAUAAUUGGAAAUUUAUACUUAAGUGUAUCUUUUCAUUUUUUAAUCUAUUAUUAUAUGAUUAACCAUCAAGUACGCGUUAUUAAUGAUUUAAUAUUUGUAACAUGCAUUUAAUGUCUCAUUAAGAAACUCCUCAAGGCAUAGAUUAUUUAGCUUGAUUAACUAUAAUAUUUGAUAUCCGAGGGAUACUCGGAUCCAACCUUCAAUAUAUUGCUUAAUUAUCCGAACCAAAACUCUAUCAGAUCCUUCAAUAUAUUGCUUAUGGAAUAAAUAUUAGACUCGAGUCUCAACAAGCAUGGGUCUAGGUUAGUAUUUGGAAUAAAUAUUAGACUCCGGAUUGCAUAGCACCACUACAUUGUUGUGAUCCUUAAUUAAAACAAUCCACUUAGAUUAGUCCAAAUACUCUUAGCGAGGAUAUAAGAACUUAUCACAUUAUACUUCUGCUUGGAUAAGUACCACAUGUUGCAUGUGUGGGAUCAUAAACAUUUGGGUUGUAUUCCUUCCCUGGUACAUUGCUUACAUUCAUUGCACAUGCCACUAAUGCAUACUGAGAGAAAAAAAUUCAAAGAACAAACAUCCUAAUCAAAUGAAGUAGCAGUUUGUGUCAAAUUUAAAUCAUUCAUUAAAUACUCUCAAAUAGCAAUAAAUUUUGAAAAAAAAAUUAAGGUUAGGGACAUCUCAAAUGCAUAUAAAUAUGGCAAAUUAUAGUUUAUAGUAGAUACCUGCGCUUGUUGCCGAGAAGCCAACUCAAAUUAGGGUAAGAGAGGUUAGGUUUCUUUUCUGUACAUGGUUUGUGUAUGGAAAUUGCCCGAACAUUAUGCUAAUUUAUCACAAAUAUAUUUAUUUGUGCAUCUUGGAUGCUAUAAUAGUAUAAUAACCAUAUUAGCAAAACUAAAGACUGCCUAUCUUUAUCAAUUUUAUCCUUAUUCUUGUUAUUUUUCUAUAAUAUAUAGUAAUUUAUUUGAGUGCAUCCCAUGGAUAUUUUGGUUGUUACCCACCAUCUAAUAAAAGCAUAAAGGGAAAACAAACACUUUGUCUCAUCAACCAAGUUGAACCAUUCCAUUGCAAUAACUAUUAUACAGCUAGGGCAGCUAUUAUUCAAUAUUUCCACUGGCCACUUGUCACUUGAUCUUACUUUAAAAUAGAUACCAUAUUUUCCAAAUGGUAACAUAACCUAUUAACACUUAUUUUAUCUUUUUUGGUACAUGUUAGCACCUAUUUUAUCAUUAUAUUCUCAGCAAAAGAAAUAAACUUUGAUUGAUGCUGACAUGAAAUUUUUUUAUUAAAACGACAGAUGAUAGUAUAUCCAAUGUCAGGGUAUGGAUAGUACGAAGAGCAAAGGACUUGAGCUGAGAAAGAAGACUUGACCUGUAAAUAAUAAAUCCAAAUAUAAACUAUGCGGCAGCGAAUCUGAUCUGGUUAUCCCUAACCGGAAUAGUAUAUUCCGCCACACCUUCAAACUCUACCCGUCCGAUCAAGAUCGGACAGCCCUGAUAACGACCAUCCGUACUAGUUCUAACAUUGGAGACAGCCCUAAUGGCAGACCCCGCAAUUCACGGCAACGACGAGGGCGUUCGAUUUCAGUUUGAUGCCAACCAAUCAAAACGUGUUUUGCCUGGUGGGCCCGCCCAAAAGAAGCAAAAAUUAAACGAAGCUUCCCUUCUUUCCUUUCGUUUAAAAAGUGCUGUCUGCCCGAUCGAACUCGUCCAAAGAAAGAAUGAAAGAAAAAUUCUUCCUUUCUCGUUGUUGGAAUUCCCUCCCAACUCUUUGAUUCAUCCUUUGAUUCAAAGCAGAGUGGAAGAAGGCGGGAUUAGGGAGUAAAAGGUGAAAAUCUUGAAGAAAGAUCGAAGUUUUCGACGUGUUUUGUGGAUUCUAAAACUUUUUGGUUGUGUUUUCUGUUUUAUUUGUUUUGAAGGUUUCGAGCUAGGGUUCAACUUUUUAUUCCAAUCCGUGUUGGAUUCGAGGUUUUUCUACUCUUCCGGAUUUUCAAGUCGGAACGUUUACAGUGGCGAUCGAGCUUGGUGCUGGACCCCGUAAUUUUAAUGAUCUCCUUAUGAGUUUGUUUUUUUUUUUCCUUGGUUUUUAGGAGGAGUUGACUCGUCGUAGUUUGAAACUCAUUAAAAUUUGGUUUUAAUUUAUGUUUGACGAAAUUCAGUUUGGGAGAUGACCGAUUGAUCUUGACGUGUAGGAAUGAAACUUUUGACGCAGAUAGUUAACGUUUGCGUUUUUAUUCAUGGAUAUUGUUAUGUUACAAAUCUCUCUCUCUCUCUCUGGUUCUUUUAAUUGUCUUCACUGCCGGAAUGGAAGAAUUUAAUGUUAUUUGAUGUUUUAUGGAUUGAUUAAGUGGAAUUUUUUUGAUGUUUGCUGGUAUCUUAUUUUUAAUACAGAGAGGUAGAACUGGGAAUUUCACGAGAUCAUCUUUAAUUGCUUACCAUAAAAACAAUUUUUUUUUUUUUGCUCAUUGUAGGAGUUUGGGACAGAUGACGAGGAUGACACGUGAUUUUGGAGACUCAAUGCAGAAGGAGGCGAUUCAUUUGGUAUCAACUGAUGUGAAUUUUGUAUUGGGACGGUUUCCAGAUUAUCAGAUAGGAGCCAACAACAUAAUUAUCGAGCCAGAGGAGAAUCCUCAGGUGCCCUCCCUCAAAGAGAUUGUUGCAAAGGAGACAGCUCAGCUGCUGGAGCAGCAGAAGCGUCUCUCUGUUCGCGACCUUGCGGAUAAAUUCGAGAAGGGUCUGUCUGCUGCUGCAAAAUUGUCAGAUGAGGUGCCAUUCCCAUUCUUAAUUUGUAUUCAUAAAUGGCAGCCAUUUGAAACACACAUCUAUCUGCAAGAAGAUAUGUUACAUUGACUUGUCAGUUAUUUAAACAUGUUGCAAUAACUGCCAUAUUUGCCUUGCUGUCAUAUAGAGUCAUUGUCUUAAUUUUUCUUCUUUUUCUUACAAAUUAAGAAUAAUUGAUUGGUAGUUGGACAAUGGUGUAGGAAUUUCAGCUAAGAAGUUGUUAAUCUGGAUGAAACUUAAAAAACAAUAUGAAAGUGUCCUAGUAAUCUGAUGGCACAUUUCCUUUCAUAUUUCUCUUUUUAUCUGUUUGAUAUAUGCUUUACAUCGAAGAAAAUUGCUUAUAUCUAGCAUAAAAUCUUGCUUGGGAUUUCAGUCAAAGUGGAGAGAAGUGGCUUCAUUGGAUAGACAUGUCCUUUUGAAGAAACUCAGAGAUGCACUGGAUCAACUCAGAGGCCGAGUGGCAGGUCGAAAUAAGGAUGAUGCUGAGGAGGCCAUUUCUAUGGUUGGUUCACUUUCUUCUCAUUUGUUUUUCUUAUGCAUGCAAUGGUCUAUACAUAUAUGUAUCAAAUUUUUAAAUCAGAUUGCUGUCCUGUGGCCUUAGACCUUAAGUGUUUAACAGCUUAGAAUCACAGAAGCAUGCAAUUUUGGAACUCUUUUGUUCAAGGAGUUGGUCAUGCAGUGUGUGUGUCAUGCCAAAUUGCAUAUCCUUUUCUACUCAUAUAGGAAAGGCUUUGAGAUUGGUCGCAUGCGGUCGGCCCCGGAACCUAGAAAGCCAUGCCUCUUUUUACAGAAAAAGUGCCAUAAAAAUCUCCCAUUGCGCUGUAUCCCAUGAUCCGAUCCCAGGUCCCGCCACAUAACCCCCUCCUUAUCUCCUCAUCCCAGCUCAAUUGCCCAUAAUUUUUUUCUUAGAAAAAUCCACUACUUUAGUUAUAUAUAAAUGGAACUCCUGAUGCUCGGCAUGCAACUCUGGACUUCAUAACUAUGAAACCUCCACGUGCUUAUUUAACAAAUAAAAAAAUAUGCAAUAGAGUGCACAUGCCUUUUUUUUCUUCCAUAUCCCUCACCCCCUCCAUUUCCUUAAAAGGCAUGUUCAUGGCUCAUGUAACAUACAAGUAAGGAAGAAAUGUCAGACUCGGAUACAGCAGUGCAGCAUCAAUUCCAAAUUCGCAUGUAAUGUUUGGAAGCCAUCACACCAACCGAACUAUAUUGGAGAAAGUAUUGAUAAGGAACUAUGUGGACUUUUCAACAAAGUAUUGAGAAUGAGGUUCGCAAUCUCGGUACUCGACCCUAUAUCAAUACCAUGUUGGUACAUUGUUGGUAUGCUAAUCUGUUGCAGCAGUGCAGCAUCCAUUCCAAAUUCACACGUGAUGUUUGGAAGCCAACACGCACAGCCAAAUUGUACCAAAGAAUGUAUUGAUAAGGAACUAUGUAGGCUUCUGAACAAAAUAUUGAGAACAAGAUUGACAAUCUCAACACUCGACCAUGUACAAUGUUGGUACAAUGGCGGUACACCUGGUUAGUGUACGGACACUCUGCACACUCCCUGUACUGAAUAUUGAUUCAUUACUGGUAAUGGUACCGUAUAUCCAUUACGUGGUGAUACACACCAAUACGGCGAACUCUGAUCGAGAAAUUGUUGAGAAAAACCUUAGGGGCAUAGUACUUAUACUAAAUGCAUUUGCACAUCAAAUAUCCCAUGACUAUGUCAAUGGAUUGGUUUACGAAACACUAUUUGUGGUAAUCAUAUCUAGUGAUUUUUUUAUCAGUUAUCCCAGUUUUAUCUAGUUAUCUCACUGCUGUUCAUGCUAACUUUGACUAUGUUGAAGUCAAACGUGACAAGAUGCUACACUUACUUGUAGGUGGAAGCUUUAGCAGUUCAAUUGACUCAAAGAGAAGGAGAGUUGCUUCAUGAGAAGUCGGAAGUGAAAAAGUUAGCAACUUUUCUCAAACAGGUAAUGUCAAAGCACUUAAAAAUACAUAGUGAAAUAUAACUUCCAUUAAUUGAAUUCACAAUUUCCAUUGUUUUAAUUGCUUACCGUGUUUGCUUUUGUAACUUCAUGGCCCACUAAACUGCAGAUAGUUAUAUGAGCUUUCUAUUCUUUCCUCCUUUUCGUUCAGUCUGAUUGAUAGAUCCAAUCUCUGGAGCUGCUUCAUAUCUCCAAAACAUGCAUUCUCUCACCUUUCUGCCAGCCAAAAUUUUAACAACCACCAGUAAAAGAUGCAGAAAAUGAAAGCUCCAUGCAAUGAAUUUCAGUCUAUUUAAACUUUUAAAAUUUGAAUUGACAGGAAAAUAAAAAAAAUAUUACAAAGAAAUGUUCCCACGAGAAGGGAUGCUACUUUCAACUCAUAGUCACCAGUGGGAAGAAUCUUAAGCACUUCAGAGCAGAUAGAAACCAAAAAACAGAAAUCUUUUAUAUUUGUAUUCACAUAGUGCUGUGAUCACUGGUAAAAUUAUUUUCUUUUUUUAAAUUACACUUAAUAUCUGUCUCUUUUGCUGCUUCCAGGCUAUUGAGGAUGCAAAAAAAGUAAUUGAAGAGGAAAGGGCUAUUGCUCGUGCAGAAAUUGAAAGUGCUAGAGCAGCAGUGCAGAGGGUUGAAGAGGCCCUUCAAGAACAAGAACGAAUGUCCAGAAGUGCGGAGAAACAGGUUGGUAUCAGAAGUUCCUAAUAAAUUUAAUUGGCCUUUUAGCUUGCUAUUGACCCUCAACUAACUAGCAAGACAAAAAUUAGGAAGUGGAUCGACAUUUACUAGCUGCGCUGGAUUAUUUUUAUAAGAGGCCUUUUAAGCUUUGAGUUUUGGCUCUGAUUAUACUUGUUAUCCUCUUUUAUCAGACUUUAUUAUUUGUCUUUAUAGCAUUAUUACUAUUUGUCCUGGAUGUCCAAGAAGUUGCAUUAUAUUUUCUGUAGGAGUUGGAAGAACUAAAGAAAGAGAUUCAAGAGGCCAGGAGAAUCAAAAUGCUGCAUCAGCCAAGCAGGGUACAUUUUCAUUUUUAUUUUUUAUUUAUCUAUUUUGCAAACGUCCAGCCCAGAAUAUAAAUGGCACACUACCCUUUGUUAAUUUGGGUUCUGCUUUGUUUCAUAAAAAAUACUGUUUAAGCUGCUUUUUAUUAGCUCCAGUGACAUCAUGUCUUUCAGUGCUGGCUAUAUUUGUACUCCCUAUAUCGCUAAAUAAGAUAACUAUACACUCAAUAGGUAAUGGAUAUGGAACAUGAACUUCAAGCACUGCGAAUUCAGAUUGCAGACAAGUCUAUGCAUUGCAUUCAGCUAAAGAAAGAGGUAUGUUAUUGAUCACAUUGAUUUUUGUUAUAGUAGAAUAAAAAUAAUCACUGAUUUUGUCAUAUUUGACUCUAUUUGUUAUCCAUUGCCUGCUUCAGUUGCCCAUAUUUCUGCUGCCUGUUUGUUGACCUUUGAUAUGCUUUGUUGCUUGUAACAUGAGUCUUUAACUCCUAUACCCUUACUUUACACAUGUUCGGAGUUUUGGAGAUCAUAAUGUCACUGACUUCUUUUAAAGUAAUCAUGACUAAGUUAUGUUGGUUUUCAUAUACUGCAUCUGUCCUUCAACUUUGAUACUUUCCUCUUUUCCCAUGCUUCUGCUUUCUGUAGCAAGUGAAUGCUAGCUGCUACUGAUAUUGAGAUUUUUAUUUAGUUAAUGUAAUUGUAAUUGUAUUAUCUGAAUCGUGUCGGUGAUUCACAAGUUAUCAAUGAAAAGUCUCUCAAGCAUUGGUCAUUUAAUCCAUUACUGGAAAUAAAGAUCUAUCUUCGCAUACAUGCUACUACUAGGGAGAAAUAUUUUGACAAUGGCUGACAGUUUGCUAAAUCUUUAAACUUUACCAGCUUGCAAUAAUGAAAAAGCUUGAGGAGAACAAGUCAAAUUUGUAUGAGCUUGAGGGUUCUGAAAGUCUAGGAUCAUGUUUACGUAUUGUUCCUCGAAUUGAUCCUGCACCAGACAUCUCUAAUUGCUCUAUUCGGUGGUACCGUACUGAAGGAAGCAAGAAGGAAUUAAUUUCAGGUAUAUGAAUUUAAUAUUUUUGCACUUAACUUAUUUUACAAGUUAGGUUUUACAUGACCAAUUGUUAUAAGUGGAUCAGUUCUUACCUUGUUCAGUUAUUUUCUCAAUCAGCAUCUCUUUCCUUAUGGCUUUUUAACAGAUGAUGCAUCUUUUGUAACCUGGCGUACUAGAGCUGUAUCAUUGUCUUGACAGGCUGUGAGACUAAACUAAAUUGAGGAAGAUGACAAGGCAAAGAGAUUAGAAGAUGCAAAGGCUGUUGUGAAAGGAUCCUGGAUAGCAAACAAGAAGAAGCAAGCUGAAAAUGGUUAAUAGCCUUAAUAAUAUAUCAAAGUGGCAUCAUAGGGAUGGAAAAGACGAGCAAGAUUGUUCAAAUACAUUAAAAUAGUUAUCAAGAUGAUACAAUAGUUAGCUGCUGUAUAAUAAAAGAUGUAGAAGUAAAAUUAGCAUGAUCUUUAUUUAUAGGGCAAAAUCCGUGAGUGAUAAAACACCAUAACUGAAAGAAGGGUAAAUAAUUAAGACUAGGCUGGAAAAGAUUACACACUGGUCCCAUAAGACCUGACAUCUCAAAGUCUCAAUGACAAGCGUCCUAUGCCAAGUGUGUUGGUGUCCAAAAGUAUCUGACAUCUCAACCACCAAAGAUCCUAAUGUGAGGAUAGUUCCGCACAAUGCUAUAUACAAGGUCUGCCGAACCGACCGGAACCGGUCGAUUUAAGCUGUACCGAACCGGUGCCGACAGCUACCAGUACGGUUCGGCUGUGAAAAUCGGUACCGAACCGAAAUCGGUGCAACCGGCACUGGUAGAAGCAGGGAAUAAGAGGAGGAAGAAAGAAGAGAGAAGAAGUGGGGAAGAAGAGGAAGAAAGAAGAGAAGAAGAAGCGGGGAAGAAGAGAAGGCAAGUACCGGAAAAAGGAGGACCUCUCUUCCUUGCUCAUGGGCGGGACCUCUCUUCCUUCCUUGCUCGCGGGAGAACGGGAGGAUCCGGGAAAGAGAGGAGAAGAGAGGAGAGAGGGGAAGAAGGAGGGUUCGGGAAGAAGAAGGGGAGGAAAAAAAAUAAAGAAAGGGAAAAAAAACCCCGCGCAGGGGGCCGAGUGGGGAACCGCGAGCCCGCUCGUAGGGAACUGCGCCCGCACGCGGUUCCCCACGCUGCCUCGAUUCCCCGCGUGGGCUCGCCUCGUCGGGCAGCAAGCCCAUGCAGGCUGCCCCGCGUGGGCUUUAAAUGCCGCAAGAGUGGCAUUUAAUGCUACUCCGUGGUAACGUGCGGGCGCGCGCGCGUCCGCGCGUCGGACGUGUGUUUUUUUCCUAUCUCGACUGGUUCGGUACCGGUUCCGACUGGUACCGAACCGGUACCGUAUCGUAACCGGUCUUCACCGGUACACCAAUACUAUCGGUACCGCAGACCUUGGCUAUAUAUAUAGAAUAAAAAAUACAGCUAUAUCAAAAUAUAUUAAUAAGGUAAGUUAACUAGCCAAUAUAAUUUUUAUUUAGAAAGGAACUUAUAUUUUUUCCAUAAUAACAUUAAAGAAAGAAAAAUAAUCAUUAUGAUGCUUCAAUAGAAGAGUUUGAAUAUUCAGACUAAUACUGUUUGUUGGUGAAUAGUUUAGAGUUCAGUUGUGUCAUCAAUUGCAAUGAGGCUCCAAAAAGCCAUGCCAAAUUCUGCCAUUUCUAGCUGAUGCAUGCAGGACACACCACUUUUAGAGUGUUAUGGAGCAUCAUGCCACAUCCAAGUGUGCAAAAGUGUCAAUACUCCAAAAUUCUGAAAAAAUUGAAAUGUGAGUAGGAUUAAUGCUUUCAUGCCUUGGUGGAUGCUUGAGUAUGUAAAACUAAGAUAGAAUCUUUUUGCUGAUCAGAACUUUAUUAAGGACAGCAAAAAAGAGUAGGAUAAGGAGAAAAAAGAAGAAAGAAGGGAAGAAGGUAAAACUAAGAUAGGAUCUUUUUGCUGAUCAGAACUUUAUUGAGGACAGCAAAAAAGAAUAGGAUAAGGAGAAAAAAGAAGAAAGAAGGGAAGAAGGCUGCUAGAGGGAUUCUACCUGCAGAACAUUUUUUGGAGCUUUCUCGGGUCUGAUUUACUGAUGUAAGCUGCAUGAGGUACAGGCAUAUGAGGCUAAUAACAGACCCAAGGGCAAACAAAGGUCUGCUUUGUGUUUGUGUUGCAGAAAUAGAUCAUAUCUGUUUUUACUCUUUACAUUUAAUUCGAAAGGUUGAUCAAAUGGCGGCACAGAACAGGAAGGAUCAGAGGUUUGAGAGAGAGGAGAGUGGCAUAGAACGGGAAUGAGAGAAGUUUAAGAGAGAGGAGAGACUAGAAGUGCGGGCACCUUUUUUAGUUCAUGCAAACUGAAAGAACUGUCAGUUGGGAUUCCUGGUUCACAUAUAUCUGUUGUCCUCUUGGCCAGGCACUCUUCCCUGAAAUAGUCUCUUUAGGGGACUCAAACAACCUGCUAUCAGAAAACAUCCAUAAAUUGGGAAUAAAUCUAAGAAAUCCAUUUGUAAAUGGCACAUCCAGCUGAAACUAAAUCUCUGCUAUAUUAAAAGAUCUUGGAUUGAAUUUUUGGGUCCAUCAUUUUACUUCCUAAGUUACCAUUAGUUUUCUUGGAUGUCUUUUUAAGAAAUCUAUUCCACAAUUUCUUGUUGUUUCAAAUACGAUAAAAUACCGAUUAUGAUCUUCUUAAUACCCGUCUUUUCGUAUCCAAACCCCCAACCUGCCAUUCCUCUCUCUCUCUCUCUCUCUCUCUGUCUCUGUGUGUGUGUGUGUUGUGUGGUUCUAAUCCCCGACCUCCUCCUCCCUCUCUAUUUCUAAUCUUGCUCCUUCCAUUUUUAUCCCUCCAUCAUGCUUAUCUAGUUGGACCCUCUCCUCUUUCCUUCUCUCCCCUCAUAAUUGAUUUUAAAAAUGAGGUCAUGUGUUCUCUCCAUCUUUAUCCUUAAACAACCAUCCUCUAUUGUUUAUGAAAUCUUAUUAGGCAAGAGAAAUUCAAGUUUUCAUUACCUAAUAUAUGUUGCUAUUGUAUUUCUUAAAUGCAUGAAAGUAACAAGAAGAUCAAAGAUAAAACAUGAACCACUUAUUUCUUUAGACUUUGUUAGGAUUUAAAUUUUACUUGUGUUGUUGCUAUACCUUUAAUAAUAUAAUUUUUGCUUGUUCGUCUUUGUAGUUCACUUUUAUUUUAUUUAUAUGGUUUUCUUUAUUUAUUUGACAUACAACAAACAUGCGUAUGUAGUAGAUGAACUAAAAAAGGAUUAAACAAAAGCACUUGGGCUGGGCUUUUCUUUGAUCAGCAAGUCCUGGCCAAAGAAUUCAAUUAUGCUGGUCCUUGGCUAAUUUCUAGUUGCAUAACUUUUGGUUUUUAAACCACGGAGAAGAAAGAAAGAGAAGGAUGAAGGAAGAAAAGCAAGAAGACAGGAAAAGAAGCAAAGAAACAAGGGGAGACCGAGAUGCCUGAGAGAGAUUUCUUCUUUAAAGAAGCUUCUUCCACUGACUGUCACUUAAGUAUCUGUAAAUUUGUGUUUUCCCUUUUCCCUACCAUAGAAAAACUUAGUGCCAAUUUAUGUAGAUUCUUAUUUGGGCAGGGUGAUGGGUCAAUGACUCAAAUGUCUCCUUUUUGAACCUCCUAAUCACUAUCUAAAAUCUAUGUAAGGUUAACUCCAAAAACACAAAUUAAUAGUAGAACUUUAAACCAUCAGUUUGUUUUUUAUUGUGUUGAAGAGUUUUUUAUUGUUUUGUAAAAUGAUAUGUAUACAUUAAUCUACAACUGACACUCUCUUCUUUUCUUCUAAUUCUUAUCUACUUAAUUUUACUAAGAAGUAUAUUGCCUCUUUGCAUCAUUCUUUAUUUAUAAUUCUGCAAAGCACAUGCCGAAAACAUUUCUGUUUAUUCCCAUGUCAAUUAUGAUUGUAUCAAACUUUUUAUCACUUGCAGGGGCAACAAAGACAGUGUAUGCUCCAGAACCUUUUGAUGUUGGACGAUUUUUGCAAGCCGAGAUUGUUUUAAAUGAUGAAAGGUUCACAGUGACAACAACGAGUCCGAUAGAUCCUGGUUUGGCCCCUUUACUUUGUGACAAUAUAUUGUCCACUAUAAUAUCAUUUGUAAAGUAAUUGUCUUUUCAUGCAUGUUUUUCCAUAGCUCUAUUGAAAUUACAUGAAAGAAAUAGUCAGCAGCAAGCCAAGAUCCUAUGUGUAUCUAUUUAGGUGCAAAUCUGGAUAUCUGAAUAUAUAUGCUAUGGAUUGGAAGUUCUGGUUCUUCAAGCAUUUAGCUUUAUGAUUUCUUUUGUCAAAGCAAAUCUGUGGAAGUGAAAUUAGUGAUGACCUUUCAUUUUAGAAUGUGGAUGCUAGAUCAACUACAUUGUUUAGUAAAGGGUAGAUAGGCUAGAUUUGGGCGGUGAGAGAUACAUUUCAAGAUAGUGCAAUAUCAGAUUAUAUUGAAUUGAUUUUUGAUACUCAUACACAAAAAUAUAUAUACAUACAUAUACAUUAACCUUUUAUUUUUUUCAUGGGCGUCGGCUAAAGUUAUUCUAACUUAGUUAUCCUGUACAGCUGCAGGAUUAGGAAGCUAUGUGGAGGCACUUGCGAGAAGGCCAGAAACUGAGUUUAAUGUAAGAUUUCAUGCUGGUUUUAGCACCUUGAUAUUGCUAUGCUUGUAGGCUGUUACUUGCCUGAUGACACAAUGUGGGCUCUUGACAAGUUUGAUUAGAGAAGUUAACCUUCUAAUGCACAUCAGUCCUAUCAAACAUAAAUCUGUUAGGCCUUUUUCAUUUCUGAGUUUAUUAUUUUUUUUGUCCUCUCUAAUUUUGUUGUAUUCCUCAUGCUUCCCUUCAAAAAGUAAAGUUUUCUUCCAUGGAUACGUAUUUAAUUACUUAAUUAAUUGGAUGGUUGCUUUACGUUUACCUAGCCUUUACUUACCAUAAAGAACUCAGUCAUAAUUGGAUUUUAAUGCAGCAGGAUUGCUGCUGUAUCUUGUUUAAAUUUACCUCCCAAUAGUGCCAUUCGUUUCUACCCAAGGUUGUACCUCACAUUCCAGAAAGUAAUUUUAAUCCAACUUUUUGCACUUAUAUCCUUGUUAUUUUUAGAUUUCUCUAUCCUCUUUUCAUUCUCUUCAACUCAGAUUAGUACCCUACUGUUCCUGUCUUUUGAUGGCUAUGGUAACACCAUCGUUACUGUUUCAUUGCUUUCUUUUGGUAUUCCUAGGUUUACCAGAAUCUUCCCAUUCAAGAAAAUGCACCCUAUUUAUAGCAGGUUUGCAAAUCAAUGCUCUAUUGCCCUUACUCACGACCAAGUGCUUAUGUAUUUAUAGCUUUUAUAUUUCCUGUAGUCUAAGGCUGCGUUUGGAAGUGGAAUAAGUUAACCCAGAGUAAGUGGUUAACUUACUCCUACUCCUCUUUACUCUGGAAUAAAUUACUCUGUUUUUGAUGUAAUUUAUUCCUUGGUUAAGUGGGAUAAUAGUUUGGAAGGGUUUUCUCCUCUUCUAUCUAUCUAGUUCGUAAGUCAUAGAUGAAAGUAAUGAGAGGCAUUUCCCUUUCAAAGAAUAUGGCCUUGGAUGGGAAUGAAAGGGAAAGGAGGAAUUGUGUGCAGAAGCUUAGUUGGACUUCCUUAGAGAGCUCCUUAAUUUAAUCUCAUCAUGAAGUUGAAUUUCUUUAAGAUUUUUUUAACAAAUAUUGAGAAAUAUCAUUAGCAUUUUGAAAGAAAGUCGAGCAUUUAGAUCUUUCUUUGGAAUGGAUCAACUAUUUAACCAACAUCCAUGCCAUCUUUCACAGUGAGCUUAUUCACAAAUCCAUAGGCUCAUCUGAGGUCCUUGCUUGGUCUCCCUCUCUCUCUCCCCCCCACCUUUUCUCUGUGUUAGUGGGUGUUUUCAUGUUGCUUUGGUGAUGAUUAGAUUCAAGUUUGCACGUUCUCAAUCUCAAGUUUGUUGUAAAGAGAAUUAUUAUUGAAAGAAAUAAUCAGAUUGUCAAGAUGUGAUUGAGCAGCACGUUUUAGAGAUCUAUUUGUAGCCUGCAAAUACUUUUCCAAAGAUCAAGUUCUUGAGCUACUGAGAAUGAAGACGUAUGAUGAUCCUUUUGAUAGUGUUGGUCUUAAUGUGCUCCUACUUAAGAACACUCCAGUUUUCACAGUUGUUGCAGUAUAUUGUUUCAAUUGUACUUCUAUUUUUACUAUUUUCUGAAAAUGCCAUACAAACCAAUGUUUUAAAUAGCAAGAUACUCAUCAUCCUUAUAUAUGUAUAUAUUGUUUGCGUGUGUGUAUGUAUGUAUGUAUGUAUGUAUGUAUGUGUGUGUUUGUAUAUAUGCGAAUUGAUCCAAGUGAUGAUCUAGCAAGUAACAACUUCACGUUCAAUGGAUUUUGAAACAGCAUAGGACUGCUUGUUUCAACACAUUCAACGGUUUUCGUAUGUUACAUUUGUUGGCUGCUUUCGUCAUGUUAAAAGCAGCUUUAAAAAAGAUUAAUAUGUUCUGUUUAUCAUACGUUAGCAAUAUAUGAUCAUUAUUAUGAUGCUUGUGUUCUGUUGGUUUCUGGGGUUGGCUUGAUAUUUAUAACUGCUUUUUUAGAAAGGGAAGCAUGAAUAUACAAAUGAUUUUUUCAACUGACACUUGAUAAACUGCAAUUGUUUCUUUUUCUAACUGAUUCUAACCCUUAAAUGUUUAUUAUGUUGCUUUUCAGGUGGUUGUCACACAAAUGAAUUGUCGUGAUUAUUCCUCGCAGUCCAUUCAUGUGUUUCAUGUGGGGAAGAUGAGAAUAAAGCUUUGUAAGGGGAGGAGUACAAAAGCAAAAGAAUCAUAUUCUGCUUCAAUGCAGGUAGCAGCCUGACCUGGAGUAUGGAUCUUUAACUUGGGAAGCUAAAUGAUGCACUUUUUUAGAAUAUUGAAUAUUUUCUUCUAAUCCAACUAACAUGGGACAUACAUCCAAUGGUUGUGGAGAAACAUGUUCUUUCAAUUGGUACUCACUACUCAGAUUCGGAUAGAACUUGCAAAGAUGCAUCCGAUACCACUUCACAAGUUUGUAUGUGGAUACAUAGAUACAUUUUCCCUCUCUGCCACAAUUCAUGGUACUGAUAGGCCUUAAAUGUGCAGUAUUUAGGGCCUCUAAGUAUGCACUCAUUGAUAUGCCCAUGUGAUCAUUCCCAAACAUUUAGGAAGUGGCUUGGAGUUGUGGAGAAAGCAGGUAGAAAGGACCUGGUUGGUUGUUGGUCCGGUAAUUCCUAAAGUUUUAAGGACACUGAAAAUUGCUUUAAAAGGACCAUGCAAAACUGAUAUCUGACUGCAACCAUUUCCCAGCCGUACUAUAGUUCAGAGCAUCAUGCUAUCCCUACGGAUAUGUGACUUAUGAUGCUUUGCUGAUUUUCCCUUCAUGAGAUUCAUGUUCCCCUUGUCUAAUGCAAUUUGUGUUUCAACAUAUACGUGAACUGGACUUUAUUUACAUAACUGAACUAUGUUGAAAAAAUUGUAAUAUUAACGUAGAAAUUAAAAGUCAUGUGUGUUGACAGUAGUGACCUGGAUUUGAAUCCUGGCCUCACCUGCUGUCAGCUGGGCUUCCUCCUGUCCUAGUUCUCCCCCUCCAAAAAAAAAAGAAGAAUUAAAGGUGGCACGGAUUGUUGUGCAAGCUGGGCUUGUAAGAACAUGUCGUUAGACCAUUGGCAAAGCUGCAAUAAUCUAAGUUGGCUUCAGUUCGCUCUCUUUUUUCCACAGCUAAAUUCUUGAGCGUAUCUAAUUUUGUUACUUUCCCUGGUCAACCUCCAGCUUUGUGGGGUUAGAGGUGGUGGAAAUGCUGCAGCUCAGUCAAUCUUUUGGCAAGCUAAGAAAGGUCUUUCCUUCAUAAUAGCUUUUGAAUCGGAGAGAGAAAGGAAUGCAGCAAUCAUGCUUGCCCGAAGAUUUGCUUUUGACUGCAAUGUAAGUAUCCAUUCCUUAACAAUAAUUCAUCAGUUAUCUGUGUUUGCUUGCAUUGGGCAUAUUAAAUUCAUGUUGGAAAUCCAUGGAAUCUGUCAGCCUGCUUUCAGCUUGUUCUACUGUAUAUUGAUUUAAAACCUAUAUACUCCUAUUUUCAUAGCUUUUUGCAUUUGCUGGCAAUUGUCAAAUGUUAGAACUAAAUUUCCUUUCUUUAUCUGAUGCAUACCAGGUCAUGCUUGCUGGACCCGAUGAUCGAGCUCCUACUGGGACCUCAUAAAAGUGAUGAACUUCUGUAUGACCGUAAGUAUGUCGAGGCUGUGCAGUUGUGUAUUUGUAUGAUUGUUAUAGGUGAAAGCUGAUAGAACGACUGUAACUGAGGCUUCUGUUAUUCUAUUCUGUUCAGCACCAAGGCAUCCUUUUAUUUGCCUUCACACCAAAUUGUAACCAUUCAUUUACAGCUAUUGUAUAGGCGGGUUCUGUUAUUCUGAUCGUGUUCAACAUUAAGGCAUCCUUCAUUUUCUCUCGACAAAGACCUCAUUCUAGACUGAGUACACGCAUAUUCCUGUCAUAAAUGUUAGAAUAGGAUGCUUAUCAUUCAAAGAAGUUUAGUCACCCUGUCAAAAUGGCUCUAGGCGAGUGAAGCACAACAAACCCUUCAUAUCUUUUUUACUGUCCUCAUCUAUAUAUCCAGUAUAGGUAGACAAUAAUUGUGUUUGGGACUAUGGGCUGGUGGCCAAAAAUUUAUGUGAAAUUGAACAACCUGUUUCUUCUACCUGCUUAGAAAAUCAAACCAUACCUCAAUAACAUGAUAUCAGCAUAAAACAUGUACUUGGUUUCCAAGUCAAAGCAAUACAUCCAAGAGUCAGAACUGAGAUGACAGGGAUGAGGAUGGGAGUUCAUAUAGGUUGCUGCAGCGAACAGAGCAGAUGUCUCAUUUUAUCGCUCAAGACUUGAAGAACUUGUGUUGUAUAUCAAGAAUAAAUGGGAGCUAUCGACAUGCACCAGUAAGUGGGCUGACACCAAAAUUCCCGUCUCUGACAUAAAACUAGUGUAGCGUUAAGAAAAUCAACAGUCAGCCAUCGCAAAUAUAGCAUAGAUACUGGGAUGGCAAAUGACUCGAUCAGAGGCUACUGAGAUCACUCUACAUUUCUAGUGACCAGUGACCGGGCAAAAUGCUACCUCUGGUGCAAGUCUUAAGGUUUAUGCAUCAUUCCUUUUACAGCCUGCUACUGCCAUUCAUCUGCAUACAGUGAGACAUCGGUCUCGACCACCUUUUAAUCCAUCAUGAAGAUAAUGAUGGGGUUUAAGAGGCCUUUCUCUGUGUUGUUACUCCUUACUCGAGCAUAUGUUUCCAGGAAAAAGAUCGGGAUACCUCGAUCAAUUGAUUUCAUGCGAUGGUCAAACGAAGAUUACAACCAAAUGGCACUAAGACGUAAUGAUCAUGCAACUGUAAAGGAAAAAAAAUAAUGAUUAAAAAAUUAUAUAACGUUUUAUAUUAGACAUUGAUAAAGAUCUGGGCACCAUAUCCUAAGUCAAAUACGUGGAUGGAAGCUGACCACCAGGCUUGUUGGGAACUCUAACCAUCUGUGUGAGUGUUACUGUGAGUGUUGGGGCGUUCAGCUGGACGCCUGGGGCAGCUCCCAGGCAGGUCGUAGGAGCCCCUGGGCUGCCUUGUACAGCUGCCUUACUGCCCAAGAGUGAUCUAGUUCCCAUUCUAUUCUCAUCCCAUUUUUACCGGUUCGAUCAUGGUGUAGGAUUAUUGUCGGGCGAAUCUGCAACGAUGGAUUUCAGGAAAUCCUAGUGCAUGGCAGAAGCAUGUUAAAAUCAUCAAGCAGGUAAAUUAAGUUAUAUUCUGCAGCAAAUAUAUUAUAGCACCAUUCAGUACACAAGGUGUAUGCUAUUUUUCUAGAUCACAUAUCGAAUGCGCACAGCGAAAACACUAUAUAAAUCACAAGAACAUGUCAGUUGUGUUGAAUUUUCUGCUGCUAAGAUAGCAUAGUAAUGAAGUUGCACAAAAGAAUUGUAUAUAAAGAUCAUGAAUUACUUCAAGAUCCCAAACUAUGCUGGAGCUUGACGGUCCAUUCAGAGUUCUUUCAUUGCAUCAAAUCCUGGAACAACACAUGAUCUCAGAUGGAACCCGAUAAAAAAUCUGAUAAUCCAAAAAGUAUUUUGGCCGAUUCUAAAAUGCAGCCUGACCCAAAGAUUAUUGAGAAGGUGAAAAGAAAAAAAAGCCAUUAGACUCCUUCGACAUUCCCAUCCAAUAACAGUAUCCCCAAAAGCAAUGUGGUAAAGAUGGCUGAUUAUGUCUGACAUGAUUCAUUGCGAAGGCCUGGGAGAUUUGUUGGGUAGGAUGUUGUCAGGAAGAAUAAGCUCUGGUGGUACUUCUCGAACAACUCCAAGCAUUGAAUCAUAAUCCUCAUCCCUGCGAGCAUACUUCUUGCGCAGCCCCUUCUCUAACUCGAUAUCAUCGAAUGCCUUAGCAUUCUCAGCAGCAUGUACCUGGGCCAAAUUGGAAUAGUUGGUUGCUGAUUGGGAAAUGAAAGCAAUCUCUUCUUCUGUGAGCUUCCUCAGGAACUUUGCUGGAUUACCUCCCCAUACCUGUCACUUGAUUUUAAAUUUUAUUAACCAGUCAACACAAUCACAACAAGAUAGAAUUAAUAAGCAAAGGCCAAAUUAAUUCUCGCCUCUGUCUUUUUACAUGUCAGGAUUUGAAUUUUUCUUCUAAAAUUGGCGUAUUGAACAAAAGCAUUAAUUAAUAGGAAGAACUUAUGCUGAUUAAAAAACUAAAAACAGCUAUUAGUUGCAGUGAAUUUGUCAUUGCCAUAAGAAUUUUGAAGAUAUAAUGAAAAGCACAAAUUGGAUGGUUUGACUUAUCCAGGUCAAAUUAGUAUCUGGGUUAAAGGCCAUUCAAGAGGUAAUACUCUACGCAUAUCGCAUAUUGCUUACUUUGUGCCAGUUCCAGAGAUCAUUGCUCAAAAAAACCCUAGAAUUUGUGCGAGCAUAAGCUUUGGCAGAUGCAAUAUUCUUUGAAAGCAAAGAGUGCGGAAGUAUUAUGGAAUAGAGGUGAAGACUACCUCUCCGCAUGGGAUCUUCGUAUUUUGCCUUACAAGGGCACCAGCAGCAACCAUGCCGUGUUUUUCCACGACAACCCCAUCAAGCAGGACUGCACCCAUACCAACAAAAGUCUCGUCCUCGACAGUGCAUCCAUGUAAGACAGCACUAUGACCUGUAAUAUUCAAGCUCUUAAACAUCAAAAUGGUUAAUCAGCUUACAAGAUGAUAUUACAGUUUGUAAUCCUUUUGGACCUCAUAGCAAUUAGAUGAGAAAGAGAAAGAAUCCAUUCUUAAUCUUGUAUUAUGAUACAUCCGAAUGUUUAGAUUCAGUGAGGUAUCAGCCAUCAAGCUUUUCAGUAAAAACAUACAGAAAAGAGGAACUAAAACAAGACACAUGGCUUGAAGAAUAUCCAUAGGGCCUGACUGAAUCAGUUGACAAGAAAUAUAAGCCAAUAAUGGAAUUAGUGUCAUAAUACUUACCUAUUGUAACAUUAUCUCCAAUAAUGGUCGGCAAGACCUUCCCACUUAAAUUAGACUUUGCUACAUGCACAAGUGAAUUAUCUUGUAUAUUAGUUCCAGAUCCCACACGGAUGCGGUUCACAUCACCUGGAGAAAUGAGAUAUUAGAACUUUUAGAUACAAAUGACCAUCAGAAAAUGGAAAAAAUACCACCAAAAUGCAAUAAAAAUUAUGUGCCACUAAACAUCAUUUUGAAGAUGUCAUUAGUGGAGAAUCUAGAUGUCAGCAAAGAUCAGUUGGUGGCGAUCUCCCUGCACCUGACCCCUUUUUGACAGUACAAUUACUUUUCCAGCAACUCAUCUUUUUCUAUAAAAGAGCUUGUCAUUGUCAUUCUUUUGAUAUGUAAUUUGUUGGCUGAUAUACAAGACAGCAAAGGAAAUACACCAAAAAUAUGUGGUUGCCACUUUCCUACAUCUAACUCCUUUGUAACAGAACAUUUUUUUCCCCAAGCAAUUCAUAUUUGAACAUGAAAAAUCAAAAAAUCGCAAUCCCAGAGAUUCAUACUCAUCUCUCAGAUCAUCCAGAAUCUCCAUUUUCAUUGAUGUCUUACAAGCUAUUGCUGCAUAAGCUGGAUGAGAUAUGACUCAUGUGACAACAGAGAUCUUCCCAAAACUAGGCUACGUAACAUGACAUGACAUGGGAAACAUAUGCGAGAUGAGCUACAUAUAAAAGCACUGAUUUGUUUUAAAAUCCUUAAAUGCUAAAAUGACAAAGACUAUCUUAAGAUUGAUGCAAGAACUCGUAUCAAAAAUCCUCUUCUUGGAAUUUGGAAUAUCCUUUUAACCAUCAAACCAUGGCAUUUGGAAUAAUUUUUUAACCAUCAUAACCAAUUUUUUCAAUUUUUAAUCUUGUCCUAAUAUCCAUUUGAAGUGGUAGUUCUAUGAGCAAUAAUAAUUAAAAUUAAUAUGCAAAACAGAGUAAAAAGGACUUCAUAGUCAGCAGAACUUCGGAUACUGCAUAGGAAACAUGAAAUGAGAAAUAGUCUACCGAGUCUAAUUUUAGCAAUUUGGAAAACAAGAAUGCAUACAAUGUAGAAAUGGGUGAAAGACUUAAGAUAGGAUUUCAAAUGAAAUAUCCCAUGGAGUUUGGAGCUCCUGCACAACUGCCUCACCUGAUGACCAUGCGGCAUUUCGCAUGAUAAAACCUUAAGGCUUUGCAGGAUCAUAAAUCUACUCCUCAAAAGGAGUUCUCCUUUGGUGAGACAUGCUAUGAACAAAUGAGAUAUUUGAUCAUGACCCCCUGAAAUUCACCUUAUGAGAGAGGUUUUUUUUAAAUAAUUUUUUAUGUAGGCCCAAGGCUUCCAGUGAACUCAAGAAUUCACCAUUAACUACAUCCAAACAUUGGGGCAAUUUUGAUUAAGAGACCUUGUCCACAAGUGUUGAAAGAAGAUAAAACAGAAUAAAUAUAAAUCUGAAUUUCAUUAAUCUGCUCGCUCAAUAUUACAUGGCUUAACCAGAGGCACACCAACAGUUUACAUCAAAAAUAGAAUGAAUAGAUCUUUAUACAUGAUUUCGCAUGCUGUAAGUUGAAGCAAAUGUGCAUGAUAGCAAGAAGAACAUGGAUCCACUUAGAGAUAAAGAGAUCCAUUAGCAUCUUGUUUUGAACUUGCCCAGUUUAAUGACAUGGGAGAUUGAGCUUGAAUUUGUAUGGUUUUGUCCAGUUUAAUGACAUGGAGGUCAAAAGUUGCAUUUGAGUAGAGUUAGAGGACUAACUCUAAUUGGAAUCAAGAAGGGUUAGAGGACUAACCCUAACUUGACCUUGAUUUAACAAGGGCCAAAUGACUAACCUAAGCUUGAGCUUGACUAGGACCAGAGGACUGUUCCUAGCCUAGAUUUGAACAGAGGACUAAUCAUAACCCGAGCUUGAUUAGGACCAAAGUACCAAUCCUAGCUUGGAAUUGACUUAACCAAGGUGAGGACCAACCCUAGCUUAGAUUUGACUAGGGUCAGAGGACAAACCCCUGGAUGAGCUUAUCCAAGGUCAAAGGAUUAACCUUGACUUGGAUUUGACUAGAGUCAGAGGACUAACUCUAAUCUGAACAUGACCAGGAUUAGAAGACUAAUGACUUGAAUUUGACUAAGGUCAGAAGAUUAACUCCAGCACGAGCUUAAGCGGGUCAGAGGACUAACCCUAACUUGGAUUUGACUAUAAUGAGAGAACUAACCUCAACAUUAGCUUAACUAGGGUCAAAGGACUAACCUUGACUUAGAUUUGACUAGGAUCAAAAGACUAAUCUCAACAUAAGCUUGACUAGGGUCAAAGGACUAACCUUGACUUGGAUUUGAUUAGGGACGGAUAACUAACUCUAGUACAAACUUGACCAAGGUUAGAUGACUAACCAUCACUUAAAUUUGACUAGGGUUAGAGGACUAACCCCAACAUAAGUUUAACUAAGGUUUGAGGACUAACCUUGACGUGAAUUUGACUAGGGUUAGAGAACUAACCCCAAUAUAAGCUUAACCAGGGUUAAGGACCAACCCUGACUUGAAUUUGACUAGAGUCAGAAGACUAACCCAAGCAUUAGCUUGACCAGGGUCAGAGGACUAAUCUUGACUUUAUUUGACUAAGGUCAGAGGACCAACCUGACCAAGAUCAGAGGACAAAUCUUGACUUUGGAUUUGACCAGAGUCAAAAGACUAACUCCCACAUGAGGAAAAAAGUUGCCAACUAGGACUCAAGGGUCGAGUUAGCCACAUAAGGAAAAGGGACACCAACUAUGAUUUACCCUAGCUUUGACUUGAAUAGGGUCAGGGGAGUAACCUUGAUUUGAGCUUGAGAAGGGUCAGAGGAUUAACACUAAUUGGUUCUAACCAGAGCCAGAGGACUAAUUCCCGUUUGGAUAGGAUUAAGGCUUGAUGACUAUCCUUAGCUUGAAUUUGAGCAGGUUCUGAGGACUAACCCUAACUUGGAUGUGAUUUAACCAUUCGCCGCUUAGAUUUUGACUAGUAUUUGGCCUUAUGCAACCCACUUGAAGCUACCGUGCUUUUCCCAUGGAUUUAGUUUGACAGGAAUCAAGGGGCCCAUCUGGAGCCAGACUAGGAUUUUCAGCGAUGAACUUCAUGCUCGGCCUUCUAUAGCCUUUCUGAGCUAGACUUCAGCUUUUGUUCAAUAAACUUAGUGCUGGACCUUGUGCAGCUCGCUUGAGGUUGAUUUGUGCUUUUGAUAAUUAUGUGAUGGGACUCGUGUAAACUUUUUGAGCUUAACUUGCACUUUUGACGAAUGAACUAACUGAUGGGCCUCAUGACACCCGUUGAGCUUGAUGAUAGGCCUUGUGUUGUCCUCUAAAGCUUGAUUUGGGCCUUAACCAUUUCUGACUUGGGCUUGACCAGCUUGAAUUGAUUGGGGCUAGAUGCUUCCAAAGUUGGGUAUCAACCCAAUAGAAGCAGGACUUCAAACACACUAGAACUAAAGAAGAUUAAUCCACUCAUAUCCAGCCAAAAUUAUUCAACCAAAAACAUAUGCAGAUAUUUUGACUUUAGCAAUAAAUCAGAUAUGAAAACACAGCAAGUAUCCAAAUUUUGAACAGAAUAACUAAUUUUAGAACCAAAUUUCAGAAAGAAUUUCCAGUAUUAACCUUCUAGAGUCCAGAUUUCUACAUUAAUAUUUCAUCUUCCUACACUUUUAGAAGAGCCAUCACAUAAAUAUGCGUGUAAAACACAUCUUUAUACACAACCACUCUAAGACACAAGAAGCCUGUAAACUUGGUUUAUAAAACUAUCAUGUCAUACUUAAAUGGAAAUCAAAACAAAAGUACAAGAUAGGAUCAAAAUCUUUUACCAUAAUGCCUUGAGGAGCAGAUACGUAUAGCAAAGGAGAUAAAUCAUUGUUCCACAUUAUUUAUACUACAGAAUUUGGACUUGAAGAAACCAUUUCAAAAGUUCAACUAAUCAAAAUUUCUUUUUAAGCAGAUGAAUAUCAAAAUUAGGAUAUCGUUUUUUAAAUAAAAAAUUAGCCAGGAUAGAAACUAUUGAUAAAUUGAUAUUUCGAUUAGAUCAAUAUGUCAAAUUAUCUAAGUGUGCAUCCUAGAAAAUUUAGCAUAAAUAUCGAACACCAUAAACAUUACACAAUCAUGUUCAAAAUUUGAUAAGAAGUAUACCUCUCAAUACGCAUCCAUACCAAAUUGAGGAUCCUUGACCCACUUGAACAUCACCAAUGACAGAUGCACUUGGAGCCACAAAUGCAUCCUUGUCAACAAUGGGCACUUUGUCAAAUAUAUUCAUGAGUGUACGAUGCCUUGACACUGAAAUAAACAAUCAUUGCAUGUUAACAACCAUUCACUCAAAAAAUGAAUAGGCUUACUGUGCUCUAUCUAUAAAUGUAUUUAGAAAACAUGAUAGCUAUCUGUAAUUAUACAAAGUCAAGGAAUGAUAUAUUUAGAGAAAACUUUACAAGGGAGGUCUUUGACAUCACAAAAUUAAUUGCAAGAACCUAGCAAACAUUACAAAAUAUAGAAAAGUUUACCAAAUGCAAAUAUGAAGAUAAUGAAGGAAGGAGGAACCCUGACCCUAUAUCAUCAAAGCUUUCUUUUUUAAAGAAAAUAAAGCUGAUAAAGGAAGGAACAUAUUGAUAUGAAAAUCUUCAUGUAUCAAAAACAGUUUCACAUGGUCUUUGUGAAACACUUUCUGAUAGACUCUCCUAUCCUCUAAUGAAACAAAUCAAAGAAAACAUGACAUGAACACAGAAUAGCAACAGAGAAGAUUUUUGCAAAGAGCUGUUGUCACAGCUGCACUUACAAAUUAUUUAAAAAUGAGAGUAAUCAUGAUUUUAAAUGAUUAUGCCAUGGUAUUACCAGGAACAAACGAAAAUGCCUGGAGAUUCUGAGUUUGGAUGAUGCAAAUAAAGCCACUUCAAAGUAGUUGGAAUUGCUCGAAUUUCUAGUGGUAGCUGUGAUUCCUAUCUCAUUGUUCAGUUUUCCAGACUAAACCCGAGACAGGGUCAUGACCAGACUAAACAUAUCUCCUUGUUCAAGUGGUCCAACAGCUCAUUCUUUCAUCUUCUUCAAAUGGUGAUCAAUACCAAUCAGAAGUCAUCGGGGGGAUAAGGAAUACAGGCAUUCAAACUUCCCCUUAGCUAACUUGCUAAUCAGGUCAUCACAGUGAUUCUGAUAAUAGUAACAUCCGAUUUCUAGAGUAUGAAUAAUCUGAUAAAUUGAAUAACCCUGUCAUCUUAAGUCAAGCAUUGUCACCUAGCAUGAAAACUUAGUGAAAAUAGAGUAUCUAAUAUUCCAAUGUAUUUGCAUAAGGGGUUAUGCAAGGAGUAAAAUGAAUGAAGAAGUCAUACAACAUUCAAAGAAAAGUCAAAUGUGGGCUAAACAUUCUAAAGAGUAAAGGUAACAAAAUGAACAAAUUCAGUACAUCAAAAGAAAUUUCCAGCGAACCAAUCAACCAUCUCAGCUCCCCAAAGAAUAAGAAUACUUAUUUGAGAAAUUCUGGUUUUCCCAGGAUUUCUAAGAUAAUAUCUGAGAAAAAUUUGAUGGAGCUUCAUGUGCAUACUUUGCAUGUGGUUCAAUCAAUCCGAAGAGCAAUACUAGUCAUUCUUUACAAAGAGCAAAAGGAGAUCGAGUUUGCUUUACUAGAAGAGUCCCUCCAACUCUUCCAGUGAUAUAUGUUCAUCUUCCCUACACCUUAUCAAGUGUUUCAACAUUUUCUUUCCACAUCAAUGCACAAUUCUGAUGCGUCUAAGUAACAACAUUCCUGCUUUAUGCUUCGGCACUACCAAAAUAUAAAACAUAUCUUCCACGACAGUCAUUAAUAUCCGAACAAGGAAACAUUUUGAGUUGACCCCCAAAGAAACUUAAACAGGUUAGCAAUAGUGCUAAUAUACACCAUUCCAAUAAUGACAUACUCUCAAAACACAGAUAAGAUAAUCAAUUCUUGAUUUAGGCCAUGAUAAUCAAAUGGUAAUUCAGACUGUUCAAAUGCCUAUCAAUAGCACCUUCAUCUUCACAAAAGCACUCCUGAAUUGGCAGGCACUGCAACUUGCCAUGGCUUAAUCCAAUUAUUAGAGCACCAAUGAAAUUGAUAGCUCAUGAUAAUGCUAACAUCAAAUAAUAAUUACGCAUCAUGAGAAAGUCUUGCUUGGUAAAUUAAUAGGAGAAAAUGAGAAUAUGGGACAAAAUUCCGUGACCUUGUAACCCUAGUUACCCAACUAUAUUUACUCCGCUACUAACAAGUUGAAAAGACAUCUAAGUAGGAAACCCUGAAAGUAGAAAAAGCACAAAAAACGCAGAUCCCGUCACGCCUUUUACAUAAAGAAACUCCAAAAUCCCAUGAUCUUGGCUAAAAAUCCACAUACAUACUUGAAAAAGAAAAAAACUAGAAAGACGAGGUCAAAAAUACCAAAAUAAAAUAAAAACAAACUAAAGGUGAAAUGGCCUCAUAGACCUUUCCGCAAUCAUAUCCACAUGUGAUCAAAAUAAAUCUUGAAUCACGAUUUGCGGUUCACUACCAGAUUUGAGUUUGCAGAUACACAGAGAGCGAAAUGAAUCCAAUCGAAAAGAUUUAUAAACUACCCAAGUAAAAGUCAAUUUUUUUUUUUUAACAGGAAAUGCGAAAUUCGAGCUGAGAUGAGAAAUUUAAUCGCCAAAGUUGGCAUCAAAUUGGAGAUUUCCUUACGUUGUUCUUGGAAGUAGUAGUUGCCCUGGAGGCGGCAUCCGAGGCGAUCGAUGGCCUGGCCGGUCUCCCGAAUCCAGAAUCCGACGGUGUAGAUCGCCUUCCCCAGCGUCCCCAUGCUCGCACCGAUAGGAGUAAGUUCGUGGAUUUGGGGGCUUGGGAGGAACUCGCAGUGUGAUCCGGAAGCCGAGAGAAGAGGCUGGAAUUGGAAUCGGGCGUUUUCCUUUGCUCGUGCGGGUUUAUAUGGAAAUGCUCCUCCCGGCCCGUUUGGUGGGGGUAAUCUAGAAAAUAAAUCACGGGUAAUGUUACCAUGGGUAAAAAAAAAAAAAGACUGAAAAGAUGAUUAAAAAAAAAGCAGGUCUAUAACUAUUUUUUUCUUAGAAAGAACAUAAAAUAAAUACUAUCAAUGGAGACAAUUUAUACUCGAUGAAAAUGACCUCAACUAUGAUUAUGAGCUAUAUUGAUAAGCAUGAUUAGCUAUAACAAAAUUCUUAAACUAUGAUUACGAAUGAUAAUUAGCUAGGGUGGAGUGAAUUCCUCUUCUUUACUAGGUUAGAUAUCUGAUUAUGUUUCAAAUAUUUAGUAAGAAAGUACAUGAUACAAAUAAUACAAAAUUAUGCUAAUUGAUAUUCAUACAGAUCUUAAUCUAUUUAUUUAUUUUUAAUAAAUAAUUAUUAACUAUUUUAUUCAUGAGCAAAUGCAAACCAGCUAGUAGCUUGCUUUUGUAUGAAUUAUUGUUCAUCUAAUUAUACUAUAAUCAUGGAUUUUUUUUACAAAAUAGAAGAACAGCAACAUUUUUUUUUUCAAUUAAUUUCCAUCAUUGAGCCAUGAUGGUGUGCAUAUUUUCUGACUGAUCCUAUCAUAGAUUACUCUUGAGAAACAAAAUAUGCAAUAGUUUAGAGUUCAUGUUAAAUAUAUGGUUUUAAGUAGCAAAGGGUCCAUGUUAAAUCUAGAGCAUUCAAUAAGUUGGGUGGACUUUAUGUUGAGUCUGUAUACUUCUGCAAGCCAAGCACGUUUUUUCUUAGACCGUCUGAUAAAUUAGUAGCAAGAAAAGAAUGGAGUCAUGUUCCUCAUGUUUCAUAUUAAGAAAAACACCUAUUAUUUUUUCAAGAGUAUUGUUGAAAAUUUGGCCAAAUUCUCAUAUAGGAUUACCUCCAAUUAAAUGUAGUAAUCUUUUUCUAGUAUCAUUUUCCGAAGUAAGUUUUUCACCAAAUAAUUAUAGUAAAAAUUAUUUCCCCUACAAUCCUUCUUUUUAGAUUACCUUGUAAUCUAACAUAUCCCAAUCAAACGAGCCCUCUCCUUUAGCCUAGCUUCUGAGGAAGCAAGAUCUUUGGGUGGGUUUACUUGGAUUUAACCCGACCCGCUAUCAAUUGUGUGAGUGUGAUUGGAUAGGCCAAUUUUUGUUGGAACUACUCAAUGGGUAGGUUAAGCUCAACCUAAGGAUCGACAAGAGGGUGGAGUGGCUCUCGUGGUUGAGGAGGGAGAGGAUGGAGAGGAGGAGGAGGAGGGCAUCGCCGCAUGGAGAGAGGGAGAAGAUCAGUGACCAUGGCCACUGAGUUGGGCUCGCCUUUUUGAUGGAUGGAAGGAUGGUAAUUUAUGAUACGAUUUAUAAAUUUGACCAACAAACAUUCUGCUUCAGGUAGAUUUAGAUUUGAUAUAAAUAGAUUCUGAUUAUGAACAAGUCAAAUCAUCUAUAUUUGGAUUCAUGUUACAAUUUUAACCUGUUUAACAUAUUUUGAUUUGUUUAAUACUUAGAUUGAAUCAUUAUCCAACUAUUUACCUCGUAUAAAAUUUGUUUGAAAUCUAUUUAACUGAUAUAUUUAACCCGGCUUGCUUAAUCUAUUUAAAUUCAAUUAAUUCAUUAAAAAUCUAUUUAAUUAGUUUAACUUAUUUAAUCUAAUUUGAUCUAUUUAAUAAAUGGAUUAUGUGGAUCGGAUCGGAUUACUUGUUUAAUAAAUAGUUCGGAUUCAGAUUUAAAAUUUUAACAUGUUUAAUAAAUGGAUCAGGUUUGGGUUGAUAGAUUCUUGACCCGAUCUACUUCUGACCCGGCCCGAUUGCCACUCUCAAGUGAAGAUGACAAGAUGAGGAAGAAGAUAAGUAAAAAGUAUUUUGUAUUAUAUUUUACAUUAUAUAAUAUAUUAUAUUAUAUAUAUUAUAUAAAUAUUGGAGCCCGGGUUGUUUAAAGUGUGGGCUUAAAUUUCAAGCCCAGGCCCGUCUAAAAUGAUCCGAUCAAGAAUGGGCCACCUGGUAUUUGAGGAAGUCUAGAAUAAGUUUGGCUCGCCGCUGGUACCGAUCGCCACGCACAAAUGAUGAUAGGGGCACGUGCGAUAGGUCCCUAUGUGUGUCACAUGGUACAUAGACCUAUGUGGGGGUGGCGCGUACCGCACGUGGGAGAUCACCAUCUGCGCCCAACGGCGAGGCAAAAUGCUUUUAUUUUUUUUUGAACUUCCCUAAUCUUGACGAAAAGUGGGAUCUGAAAUCGAGUCAAAAAAAAAAGUAUGCAAAUUAAAUUUCUCACGUUUUGUCAACUCUUUCUAAGUAAAUGUGUUCUUUGGAUUGAAAUUUUGUGAACAUGAUUUUAAAUAAGAUCAAAUUUAGGUUGCAAGCUCGGCGAUCCUUUUUCUAAUUUGAUUAAUUUGAUUCACCUUAUGUCCAACUCGAACCAAUACAAGUUGACCUGGCCUAUGCCAAGCCACAGAGCCUAAAUCAUGUCAGGUUGCAAGAUUUUCAGGUGGGGAUGGUGUGGUCUUAUUAGUUUCCAGACUGUGGUUGCUCCAGAAGCGUUUAGGUUGGGACUAGUUGUAUUAGAUUUGAUAAUUUUGUUAAUAUGGCUUCAAUUGCUUCACCUCUAAUCUGAUAUAAGAUGCAAGAUGCAUCCCAUUUGAUAGUUUGUGUUGUUUAUAAAAAUACAUAGAGAAACAUUGGAAGAAAGGCCUGUGCAUUUUUGACAAUGGCGUAUGAAUAAUUGUUGUUGUGCACAAGCUCUAGCUCAGGGAUUUACAAAUUAUCAAAGGUAUGGGAAUGAUAUGGGAUCCUAGCCUAAUUACAUGCGCACUUUAAGCAUAAGAAAGAGCAAUAGAUAUAAUAAUAUUAAAACAAAAAAUGGUAAAUUAAAUAAUAAUAUAAUAGGCCUCUCUCGGCAAUAAUUUGAUGUGAUUUUUAUAUUCAUGUAGCGUGUGUGUACAUUGGUGCAUGCAUACACGUGCGAGAUCAGUGUUUACAAGACUAUGUGGCGAAAACUCAAUAAUAAAGUCCAAGACUUCCAAAAUCUAUUAGCAUAGAGAAUAUAACCCUAAUUUGAGAAAAUGAUUCAUAUAGCCGGUCUCAACUAGUUUGGGACUCAAACUUGGUUGAGUCAAGCCAGGGUGUAUAAGAAGGGAUAAAUCCAAAUUAUAGAAAUAAUAAGUAACUUCAUAGUGGGUGAUAUGCAUGAAAUAUAAUACUUGAAUAAUUCAAAUAAAGUUUGUUAAAAGAUUAAUAGUACUCAUCAUUCAUCAAAAGUUUGGAAAAAGCAAAAAUGAUUAUAUUUGGAAACAACUUUAAUGAAUGUUAACAAUAUGUCAUUGUUGAUGAUAUCUAUGUGUAUACAUUUUUCAAAAAUGAUGCAUUUAUUUAUGCAAAACAAGCACAAUAAAGAUAUGAUAACGAACAAAUCUUUAAAUCUUGAGAAUAAUUCGAAAAACAAUUCAGGGAAAGAACAUUUUGAGAUGCAUUUAGAAAAUUGUCAGUAAUUAGUGAAAUUACUUGAGCACCCAACAUGUUGUUUAAAGUAUUCGUAAAGAUUUCGCAAGUGAUUAUAUAUAUAAAAUCCAUACUAAAAAGUACCUAAAAUUUAGUGCUCAUGGCAAUGAUAAUUAUACUAGCACACCUUUUUUUUAUUGUUUGUUGAGAUCCCCUAGCAAAAAUCUCAUGUGAUGGAUGAAGGACUAGGUAUUGUGGCUAUUCAGCUACUCUUCCAGUUUUAAUGGGUUAAAAUUUGUUCAUAUUACAGAUAGGCAUAUAUAGGAAAACAUGUAGCUCCUUGUUUGAAGUGGUCCAAUGGCCGAGUCCAGAUAGGUCUUGGGUUGAUCCAACCCAUUUGCACCCAACCUGAGUGCACCCUAAACAUCCGUUAUUCCUCAGGGCCACAUGCCCCGAGAUCAAGUUCAUCGAACGGCGUUAAUUAAUUCAAAAUAGGAAUCUUGCUUUAAUAACCACACCCGCUCCCCAACGGCUACUUUUCUAGGAGCACUUCCUCCUCUGCCCCAUCUGAGCCGUAGGAUUUCGCAGAUCGGACCGUUGAGACUUUAAAAAAUUCGACCGUUGGGAGGCACCCUUCCUCCCAAAGGCAACCCUCCUCCCCUCCGGCCUUUUAAUGUGAGGCCAACGAGCCGAGAGAAACAGAGAAGACAGAGGCAGAUAGUGCAAGAAAGAGAGCAGAAGGGAAGGAAAGGAAGGGAAGAAUAGAAAGGACUUGUCCUUAUUCUUCUUCUCUCAGAGCUGAAUCCAGGCGGUGGUGGUGAAUCCGAGCGUAGAAGGGGAGGGGAAGCCGCGGACGGCUCGCCUCCAUUCGUUCCUCUCGUCGGUGUUCUUGAGUCUCUUCGGGAAGAACCAGGAAGGAGAAGAAUCCAUGGCUACCAGGCAUCACGCUGUGGUUUCCCAGCAGCAGAAAGGUAAAUCUACGGGAGAACUGUAAUCUAUGGAUCCUUUUUCGAUGGGUUUCUUGAGAUUGUUACAAUAAAAGAUCGUUUCUUUUCUUCUUGGCUCCUUUUUGGAUCUUCCUCUCUUUGCUUUCUUUUCUUCGGUGGAUUUUUGUUGGGUUUCUUUAUUUUGUCUUGAUGGUAUCUAUGUCGAGGUUUCUUCUGGUUUCCAGAAAUUUUUGUCUCAUAAAGGUUCGUUUUUUCUUUGUGGAUUUUAAAAACUUCCGAUCUUUGAUCCUUUUAGUUUUCUGGGUAAUAAUGGUUAGCGUCCUCUUUUCCGUCGCUUUAAUUUGGCAGGGGGAAAUGUUGGUUCUUUGAGUCUAUUAACCUUGGCUUCAUCUGUGGAGCAGGCUCAGCAAGAUCAUGUCUUUUGAUUUUAUGAUAGAUUCCUAAUUUUUCUUUAAUAUUGUGAUAUUUCUUUCCUUGCUUCGUUUUGGUUGUGAUUUUUCUCCUUAAUCUUCUUGUCUUCAUGGAUUCUUGUUCUACGUGCGGCCUUUGAAGGAAGAGGUUUCUUGAAUUCUUGCGUAUGAUCUUCUUGUAGAUAUUAAUUUGAGUGUCUUAAAUCAAUAACAUAUCUUCUAAAAUCAUCAGGCGCGAUUAUUCCUGCGGGCAAGCAGAAAGCUGCUGCCGGUGCAGAUGCGAAGAACCGGCGAGCCCUUGGAGAUAUUGGUAAUCUAGUCAAUGUCCGAGUUGCUGAAGGGUAAGAACACCAUACCUUAUUUUCUCCCCCAGGAUCCAUAUAUUUGAUGCUUUAAAUAACUUUCUUUUAUAUUUUCUUCUGUUCAGGAAGCCGCUUCCCACAGUUAAUCGGCCCAUUACCAGGUGGGUUCAUCUUCACCCCCAUAUCUUGCAGUUCUAAUCCUCUUUCUUUCUCUUGUUCAACUCAUCUCAUAUCCUUUGUUUUAUUUCAGAAGUUUUGGUGCUCAACUCCUUGCAAACGCGCAAGCCGCCGCCGCCGCCGCCGCCGCCGAUAAGGUACAUUGAUCACCUCCAUAUUGUUUCCAAUAAUUUUUUUUGUCGUUAUCAGUGGUAGGAUGGAUUAAAUGAAUGAUUUCUGUAUGCCUCAUUAAUGAUGGUGCAGAAGCCUGUAGUUGUUCCUGCUGAUGGAGCAGCAGUGGUUAAGGCUGCCGCAAAAGCAACUAAGAAGAUUACUGUUAAGCCAAAGCCUGAGAAAAAAGCCAUUGAGACCAACCCUGAUGAGAAAACAAAGGAAGAAUCUGAGACUAGUAGUUCCCGCAGCAGGUCUUCAAGGAAGAAGGUCAAUACACUUACUAAAGUACUUACAGCUCGAAGCAAGGUAUAAUUUUUUUCCCACUAGACUAUAACAUUACCUGCUUUGAUUUGUAUGUGAUGAGUUUACUUAAAUGUUCCUCCACAUUCCAUCCAUGUCAGGCUGCCUGUGGAGUCACUGACAAACCCAAAGAUUUGGUUCCUGAUAUUGAUGCAUCGGAUGCCGAUGAUCAGUUGGCUGUCGUGGAUUAUGUUGAAGAUAUCUACAAGUUCUAUAAACUUGCUGAGGUACACUUUUCAUAUAAACUCUGCCAAUUUUAUCUAUAAUUUCUCAUUAUCCAUUAACCUCUGUACAUAACUGCCAAUGUUUGCUGAAAUUGUUUGUUUUCAACUGUUGAUGCAGAACUCUUUCCGGCCGCAUGACUACAUGGACUCACAAGUGGAGCUCAAUGCGAAGAUGAGAGCAAUUCUGACCGACUGGCUGAUCGAAGUGCAUCACAAAUUCGAGCUACAGCCUGAGACUCUAUACCUGACUUUCUACAUCAUUGAUCGCUACCUUUCAAAGGAAAUAGUCAUGAGGAGAGAACUCCAGCUUGUGGGAGUCUCUGCCAUGCUAAUUGCGUGCAAGUACGAGGAGAUAUGGGCUCCAGAGGUAGGCUAUAUUUACAACUAUCUGCACCUUUUUCUAAUUUCUCCAUCGAUUGUUUAAUCCAAUAAGCUUGGGCAUCUGGUGCAGGUCAAUGAUUUCAUCUGCAUAUCAGAUAGGGCCUAUACCAGAGAGCAAAUACUAGUCAUGGAGAAAGGAAUUCUGAACAAGCUGGAAUGGAACUUAACCGUUCCCACGCCUUACGUAUUUCUUGUGAGAUUUUUGAAGGCCGCGUUAUGCGACGAAGAGGUAAUAUUAAUCGGAGGUUUUCUGGUGUUUUUCUAUUGCUCAUUCCCUUCAGCAGUCUCAAUUGCAGUUCUUACUUUAGUUUCUUCUGAUUAAAUUGCAGAUGGAGCACAUGGUUUUCUUCUUUGCUGAGUUAGGUCUGAUGCAGUACUCCAUGAUCAUGUUCUGCCCAUCAAUGGUUGCUGCUUCUGCUGUUUAUGCAGCUAGAUGCACUCUUAAGAAAAGCCCACUUUGGACUGAAACACUCAGGCACUACACAGGGUUCUCUGAGCCACAGCUAUUGUAUGCAGUUAUGCCUGAUCACUAGUUACAAAUAUUUAUGUGUAGAGGGAAGUAAUCAAUCCUACUGAAAAAUAUUGUUUUUGGAUGCUGCAGGGACUGUGCACAAAUUUUGGUGAACUCUCACUCAGAGGCACCAGAGAGCAAGCUGAAGGUUGUGUACAAGAAGUAUUCAAGUGAGCAAUUUGGAGCUGUGGCUUUGCAACCCCCAGCAACAAAACUGUUGGAAGAGUUGUUGGAUGCUUCAAGGAAGAAGAGUUAAAAUGCUUCAAGGAAAGUGAUCUGGGAGAAGUGAUGCUGGAUUACCCACUGGUAAUUAAUAUAUAUUUGUUUCUUUGUUUCCAGAGAGAUGAAUCAGUGAGGAAAAGAAGGUGGUGCUGAAUCAUCCAAGUUGAUGAUACAGAGGGAUUCCUUUUGUCUGUUUUUGGUCCCUACUCUUCACUCCAGAGUUUUAUUACUUUGAAGGAAGCAAAACAGUUUACUGCAUUCUUUUAAUGUGCAUAUAGUUUGCUGCCCAUUGGUUGUUGAGACGUCUGAUUUUUAUGAAGCAGCUUUUUGUCGAAGCAUAAUGAUAUAUAUAUUUUUAUCCAAGCCAUUUUUAUGUCAUAAAUCCUUUUCUCGUUGUGCGUAAAAUUUUUAUGCAGCGACGUUGUAGUUAGAUUUGAUAGAAAGAACACCUUGGCACGUUGCCGCCACCCUUUUCCAAAGGAUACCAGCAUCUCUUGGUUCACAUACAUGAGAAUCUAUAACGAUAAUCUAGCUUUUUUCACCUGCAUGUUCAAAGUGCAGGACCCAAGACGUAAGCAAAAUAAGUAACGUUACAUGUAUCACUGCUAUACUUUUAUAUCUGGCUACUGUGCUAUGUGAAUCAAGCCAUUCAGUUGUAAGAAAAAAAAAUAAUCAAGACAACCAGUUUCUGUUUAAUUAAGAUGCAAGCUAGCAAGUGAAGUUCCAUUCAGUAGUCCUCUGAAAGUCCAAAGUAGAACAAGAUUUUUUCGUUCCAAAAACUACCCAAGUUAAGAUGUACACGAGACUUGAAACCUGAAAUCUCAAGUUAAGAUACUUAGGGUUUUGGCGAUCUUUUCUAUCUAAUGAAUAUGAGGAGUCCAUUUGGAAAUCGUCCGCCAUGCAUCCACCUCCGAGUAUAUGAUUUAACAGAAAUCACACAAGAGUAGAUUGAUAGAAACAUCUGAUUCUUCCCCCAAUUAACAAAGAGAUCUUGGCGAAAUUGCCACAUAUGAAAUUGAAUAUAAUUUUGCAAAAAAAUACCCUACUUAUUUCUCGAGAAGAGACGGAAAACAUGCUCAAUAUAUCCUUACUUGAAGAAAACCUCCCCUUCAAUUGGUCUUUUUUCACAAAAAGCAGACAUGAGAUAAUAAGUCAAGUCUUUCCCUAAGAUUUCAAAUAGCUGUCCCGAAUUCAAGUUGAUUAUGUUUGAGAUGGCUCCAUGUGCUCUGAUUCUUCAUUUGUAUUCAUACAUAUACUACAACAUGUAUUUUUAUUUUUGAGAAAACAAACUCUCCUCUUUUUAGAGGGGUCCCAUUCAUACAUAGACUACAUUUUUGAGAAGACAAAGUCUCCUAUUUUUAGAGGGGCCCUAUUCAUACAUGGACUACAACAAGUUAAGAUACUUAGGGAUGUACUACUACACGAGACUUGAAACCCGAAAUCUCUUCUUUUCCGAGGGGCCCUAUUCAUACAUAGACUUGUAACAUAUUAUUUUUAUUUUUGAGAAGACAAACUCUCCUCUUUUUAGAGGGGCCCUAUUCAUACAUAGACUACAACAUGUUAUUUUUCUUUUUGAUAAGACAAACUACAAGUUAUACUGGCAUCUAACAGAUCUCUGACAAAAGAAUUGAAAUUAGUCCAUGAUGAUCCACCGUCUUGAAUUGCUCUAUGAGAAGCCUCUCUCAGUUCUGCAGCUCUUCUCCUCAUCUCCCUGUUUUCAACUGUAUCUUCCAUAAACCUCUUAAUAGUUUUAGCAAUCUCCUCUCUCCCAACUACUUCGUCUUUCGUCACCAUUUCCUUCAGACUCAGACCUACCUUCCAUUCAUCCACUAUAAGCCUGCUAUUAGGUGGUUGAUCCCAACUAAUAGGAAAUGUAAGCAUUGGCACCCCCGUGAACAUACCUUCAAGAGUUGAAUUCCAGCCACAGUGAGUCAAGAAGCCCCCAACCGAAGGAUGACACAACACCUUCAGUUGGUCACACCAAGGCACCACUAAGCCCAUGACACCACUCAUUUCCUGCACUUGAGAAGAGUCCCCACGAGCAACCCACAAGAACCUGGUCUCACUAGAACGCAAGCCCAUUGCAAUCUCAUCCAUCUGAGAGCUUGAUACUGAGAGGAAGCUGCCCAGUGAGACAUAUAGUACGGAGCUCUUUGGUUGGGAGUCUAACCAGUCGAAGUAGUCCUUGCCACUGCCAUUAAGCAGUAUGGGCUCCUUUGGUUUCUCUUCAAGGGUCAUAUAAGGAAUGGAAGGGCCGACCGGGCACACAGGACAAGAGAGCUCUGCUCGUAAUGCAUCUAUAACACAAGCCUCAAUCUCAUAGAACGAAGUGAAGAGAACACAUUGUGCUUUCCUUACCCAAGAGAAGGCUUCCAAUGCUUGUCUCAGUGUCAGCACGGAACGGACAGUUCUGAAAUCAGACAACCUCACCGAAGCAAGACAAGGAAAAAACUGCUCCAAAGGCUCAUCUGCAUCUAUUGCAAAUACAAAAAGCAUUUUCAAGACCCAAGCAUUCUCUUUAACUCAACUGGAUACUAGAUAAGUGAAUUCAAUGAAGUGCAAAUUAGUUAUGGCUGGACUAACUGACAACUAUACUGAGGUUGCCAGAGCAAAUAAGGCUUCACUUCUCCCAGAUUCAAAUAGAGCCUAAAUUGCUAAUAAGGCUUCAGUCUGCUGGUUGGUACCUCUUACCCAGUGUUGCACCGGGAAGAGAUUCCAACUUCAACUUGGAAUGUGGCUCUCCCACUGAUGCUAUCCUUAAUUGAAAAAAAAGCCUAAAUGUCCUUGAAUCAACUAUGUUUUAGUUUCUUUCGAAGAAGAAAGUUUAAUCCAGACAAAGGAUAAAGCACCUAGCCUAUUGAUAUGGUGCAGCACUAGAAAGCUUAUGCCAGAUAAAAAUCUUCAGCAGAUUGGCCACUCUUCAACAAACAAUGCAAAUCUUAAGGCAUGCUCAAAAUUCAUUCAGUACUGAAAUACUAAGAAGCUAUAUCAUGGUUCCUUGACUAGCGAAGAUGAACCUUAAACAUCGUCUACGUGAUCUUGUUUCGGACUACGGCAUGUUUCAUCAAAAUUUAGGAAUGUUAUCUAACAUGCGCUAAACAUGACACCAACCAUAUAGGCUGGUUCCAAUUUCUUAGGCAACUUUGGAUGAGAGAUUUGGCACAAAACUCAGAAAAUCUAUUGGUAGGUAGUGGAACUACCUUAGUAGUUGCACAGCAUAAGCACAAAAGGGGAGAAACUUUGUUUUUCUCCAAAACAAAGCAGUCAUAUGCACUCAACUCAUAUUGUUAAUGAUUCUUUGAUCUAGAUGCCAUGCAUUCUACAUUGUUUGCCAAUGAGUUCUGCAAUGAAAAAUCUUUGGAGGGCCAUGAAGAAUCACAUGCAGUAUUGUCCUUGACAAGGGAUCAAUCAAGUAAGAUUAGAUAGUAACUUGAUAAAAUUUUUUUGAAGAAGAAAAAGAGUAGGUGGAACAAAUGCAUAUCACCACCUUCUUUUAUGAGUGCAGGCAGCAGAUUAGACCUAGGUCUCUAGCAUCCACACAAAGACAGAUAUUUCUUUACGGAUAUUUGCUUGCUGGUAUUGGGUAAAUAAUGUUCUACCUGACAGUUUUUUUGAUAUAAUUCUACUUGACAUAAUUGAAGAGAAGAUAAUCAUAAAUCUGUAGGCACAUUAGAAAGUUUGUACCAAACAAAAUCCUUAAAAGGGCAAAGAGAAGAUGAUGGAGCUAAGUGAGAAAAUUUAUUAGUCGAACAUUGUAAUUUGGGAGCAUUAAUAAGAAUGAGGUUAUAGAAGCAGAAAAGAUAUCAAGGAAAAUGCUUUGGAAUAUUAUGCAAAAAAAGGUUCCUUGCACCCAUUAGGUCCAGCUUGGCAACUUCAUAAACAAGCACUUCAAAUCAAUUCCUGCAAGUCAGCAUCAUACCAUGUGGCAGGAUAGCUUUUUGUGUGCAGGAACCCCCAUAGCAUUACUCAGAUAUCAAAAUCAGCUACUAUACUAAGCCUUUUGAUACCGUCAAAGAAGCUGAAACUAUGCCUUACCCCCCCCCCCCCCCCAACCCCUCCUCAAAAAACAAACAAAAAAAAAGGCAAAAAAGGAAAAAAUUUCUUCUUGUUAGCUAGUGAGCUAGUAAACAUACUUCAAUAUUAGAAUGUAACUUAGCACCAAACAUGAAGAUAGCUGAAGUUAAGGUUUCAAUAACACCAGCAUUUCACUCAACAGGGAAGCCAGAGAUAACACUAAACUGAUCACCAGGGGUCCUAGCGGGUCAUAUCAGGUCAGGUCAUCCAGGUUUCGCUAAGUUAUGCAGACCUAGUAGGGUGGGUCUUAUUCCAUACUCAAUCCUUCGAAGGUUGUCGGGUUUGAGUUCAGGAAAUAAAAAUACAAUAAGAUGCAUCAAUUCUUGAAGUCGACUUUGAGUUUGGGUAAUAAAAAUAUCAUAAGACCUGUUGAUUUGGGUUUAGGAUGAUCAAUGUGCAUUGGGUUUAGGUAGGUUGAGUCAGAGUUUCCACUAGCAACCAAGAAAUAUAUCUUGAACAAUUAAUAAACCUAAAAUUAUUCAUGCUUUAAGAAGCUUAUAGAUGAAACAUCAAAUUAUACGCUCCAAAAGUUAAAUCAUGAAUAGAAAGCACUUGACACAUAACUGUGUAACAAUGUUUUAUUGGAAGUUGAAAAGUUACACUUAAUUUAAAAUCAAGUACAAACACUAAAUUAGACGAGAUUAUUUCAAAGAGCUCAUAAUGUUUGAAGAGUCCUCUUUGAUAAAGAACAUACAUGUACUUUUUUUCAUAUAUUUUCAAAAUUUUACUAUAUAUUAAUCAAAUUUCAAUUAGUUUUAUACUCCUAAAUUAUAUGUUAACUUUUCAUGCAUUGUUUUCAAAAAAAAUGAUUUAUGAUUAUUUUAUAUCCAUGCUAUAAUUAAAAGGUGGUGUAAAAUGACCUAAAUAUUAGUAAUUAAACUAAAAAUAUAUAAAUAAGACUGUAUGUGUAUAUGUAUAUAUUUAUGUAUUAAGAAUUAUAAAUGUGAGAUUUUAGACAUUAGUAGGCGGAUAAGUAGCAGUGCAAAUAUAUACAUGCGUGUAUGCAUGCUUAUAUAUUUUAAAUUCCAUCUGUCAAAUUUCGUGAGAAUAAUAAUCUUAGUUCCUCUCUUCAUGAAUAUUUGUAUAAAAACACGAUAUAUAAUCCAAGUGUGCCUCUUUUUGUUUCUGCACCUCUACCUUUUUUAUUAGACAUUCCAAACCGAUUGGUCUAUAUUUUAAAAAGAAUUCUCUACCUAUUCCUCACCCUUUUGACUCUUUUUUUAAUAUUUUAAAAACAAAAAUAUUGAUACAUUUUCUAAUAUUUCAUGUUUUAUCUCCUUAUCCCCAAAUUUCUUAAAUUCUUUUUCUUAAUAAUCUGUAACAUGAAUAGCACAUGUCUAGUUGCUAGUGAUUUAUACAUAUACAUAUACUAUAUACAUGCAUAUAUAUAUAUAUAUAUAUAUAUAUAUAUAUAUAUAUAUANNNNNNNNNNNNNNNNNNNNUAUAUAUAUAUAUAUAUAUAUACUAUNUAUAUAUAUAUAUAUAUAUAUAUAUAUAUAUAUAUAUAUAAUACAUAGAUAUAUACAUAUGUAUAUAUGUAUGUAUUUAUAUAUAUAUACAUGUAUGUAUAUAUGGGUAUGGUUAUAAUACACAUAGGGUCUAAAGAAAAGACUUUAUACCUGCCGCCGAAUUCAAUAUUAGUAGUCAAAAAAUAAAACUUAAGGCUGUUGGAUGUGAUGUAGAAGGCCUAAAAUAUCUAUAUACAAAAUAUCAUAUGAAUUAAAGACACCUAGCCGAUGCAUCAGAUCACCGAUAAAAAUAGUUAUAAUGGAACAUAUAUUGUUUUGAUUUUGGGAUGACUUGAGGGGUCGAGAAAAUAUAUGAUUUUUGUUUAUAUAAAUUUUAGGCCUUCUAGAUCACAUCCAGUGGCUUAUAUUUUCAUUUCUUGGCCAUCAACAUUGAAUUUUGUGGUGGGGUAGAGUUCAGUAUAAACACCCUAUGUCUAUUAUAACCGCAUCCACAUGAAUUUCUCCAAGGGUGGACCCACGAUUUUUUCCUUGUUUUUUUUUUUUUUUUGUGGGGGGGGGGGGGUGGGGUGCAAAGGAUGUACUUUAGGUCUGUCGUGCAAACCAGUCGACUAGAAUGGGUGUAUGAUGAUCUUUGAGAUUUAUACUCAAAUCAUCAUCUUUGCAUGAGACGACUAAUAAUCUAAUUUGCGUUAUCUGUAUAAUGUAAAUCUCAUAGUUCAUGUUGCAUUAUUUCUUUUACAUAGCAAAUCUAGACAACAUUAUACAACAGAAUGCAUAAAUAAAAUAGUAUAAGUUGACCAAUCAAAUUUAAUUUUUUUAGAAAUUAUUGAAAUAAUUAUUAUACAUUAUAUAUUCUCUAGUGGGAAUGUAUUAAGCUAACUACAUCAAGUCCUAAAUUGUCCUACUAUUUAAGGGUAUAUAAAAAUUACAUAUAAUUUUAAUGGAACAUGAAGAAGCAAAUAAAAAAUAAUUCAUCUUUUUAUCAUUUAAACCUAAGCGGAUGUCAAUAAUAAGUGUAUUUGUAACCAGUGAGCAAUACUAUAUUUUUAUAAAAAUGUUCAAUAAAAUGUGUAGAUUGGGAUCUUUGAUGAUUUAGAAGGGGGGAACAUUUUCUUUGGAGCCUAAAUGUACCCAUUAACUGUCCUCCUCUACAUCGAGAAAUUCCUCUCUUCUAUCCUCCCUGCUUAAGCCAAUUAUCUUGAUAUAUCCUAAGGUAAUCAUCAUUUUUUACAUAAAAAUAGGUAACCCAAUAUAAAAUCUUAAUAGAUGUUAUCCAAUUUAUAAUUGCAGUAAUGUUAAGUCAGUGUUUGGUGAGUAGGCAGCUACUGAUGGUAUUAUGGACUCGAUAGUUAUUUUGAAUAAAUCUUGUACAUCUCCUAUUUCUCAGCAAAAGGAGGUUGGUGUUUUGGAUAAUAAUGCAGGUUCUUCUAUCUGAAAGAGCGCCAGAUUUACUGCAGAUGGUACUGAUAACUCUCAUAUGUUGGACAGAGCUAGUAAGAGAAAGAAGGACAUUAUGAAGGUAAUGAAAUGACUAAGAAGUCAGAGAAAGAUUCAGCAGAUGCUCCUCUUGGUUCUAUGAUGAUCACAGUUUUGGAUAGGUUAACCAGUGAGGAACUUAUAACCAUGGCUGCUAAAUGUAAAUUGUUGUCUAUUGGUCCAAAGUUCUGCUGGAAUAAAUGAAAUCAAAGAAGUAGAAAGGGUAAAGCAGAUAGUUGAGUUGGAGUUGUUGUUAAAGAAAAAUGAGAAGGAAGAGGAGGACGAUAGCUCCUCUUAUCUUCUAAUUUCAUUUUUCUGUUUACUUUGAUUUUUCUUUCAGAACUGAAGCUUUUUAUAUUGGAAUGUUAGGGGUAUCUGUGACCUUUCUAAGAGAAGCUUGUUAAAGAAUGGCACCGAAGCAAAUGGCUGCAUUUUGGCUUCUUUUCAGGAAACAUCUAUGUCAUUUCUCAGAUCUUUUGCUGGUUCUAGACUGAAUUGUUGGUUUUAUUAAUUGGUUGGUCAAAUCAGUGGGUUAGUGGUGUGGAAAAAGUGCAAGGCCAGCAUUCUAUGUUAGUUAUGUUUACUUUUAUUAAUUCUAAGGUUAAUGGUUAUUGUCUCAUAUAUAUGGUACUUAGGAUUUAAAUGAGAAAUUGGUGCUCAGAAGACAUAAGAAAUACUAGAGCUUCUUUUGGUGUUCCAUGGAUAGUGUGUGGGGAUUUUAAUAUGACAAGGUGUGGUUGUGAUAGAAGUGGUGAUCCAGGUUGACCUAGAGAUAUGGAAUUAUUCAAUAUGUUUGUUCAAGAGGUACAGCUUACUGAUUUACGUUUAUGUAAAAGAAACUUAAGAGUAAUAGAAGUAAAUUAUUGACCAUGGGAUCAACUGGCUUUACGUAAUCCUAUUAUGCAAAAAAGGUUCCCAUUAUUGACAAGGUUCCUAUUAUGCUAAGCUUGACAAGGUUCUUAUUUCUGCUGAAUGGGAUCAAUUGGCUUUACGGAAUCCUAUUAUGCUAAAAAGGUUCCAAUUAUUGACAAGGUUCUUAUUUCUGCUGACUGGGAUCAAUUGGCUUUACGUAAUCCUAUUAUGCAAAAAGUGGAAUUGCUGACGGGACUCACCG